rnacentral:rRNA from 1 species
ACCCGCACAAGCGGUGGAUGAUGUGGAUUAAUUCGAUGCAACGCGAAGAACCUUACCUACCCUUGACAUGUCCGGAACUUGCCAGAGAUGGCUUGGUGCCCGAAAGGGAAUCGGAACACAGGUGCUGCAUGGCUGUCGUCAGCUCGUGUCGUGAGAUGUUGGGUUAAGUCCCGCAACGAGCGCAACCCUUAUCAUUAGUUGCUACGCAAGGGCACUCUAAUGAGACUGCCGGUGACAAACCGGAGGAAGGUGGGGAUGACGUCAAGUCCUCAUGGCCCUUAUGGGUAGGGCUUCACACGUCAUACAAUGGUCGGUACAGAGGGUUGCCAAGCCGCGAGGCGGAGCCAAUCCCACAAAGCCGAUCGUAGUCCGGAUCGCAGUCUGCAACUCGACUGCGUGAAGUCGGAAUCGCUAGUAAUCGUGGAUCAGAAUGUCACGGUGAAUACGUUCCCGGGUCUU